GGUUAAGCGACUAAGCGUACACGGUGGAUGCCCUGGCAGUCAGAGGCGAUGAAGGGCGUGCUAAUCUGCGAUAAGCGCCGGUAAGGUGAUAUGAACCGUUAUAACCGGCGAUACCCGAAUGGGGAAACCCAGUGUGACUCGUCACACUAUCAUUAACUGAAUCCAUAGGUUAAUGAGGCGAACCGGGGGAACUGAAACAUCUAAGUACCCCGAGGAAAAGAAAUCAACCGAGAUUCCCCCAGUAGCGGCGAGCGAACGGGGAGGAGCCCAGAGCCUGAAUCAGCAUGUGUGUUAGUGGAAGCGUCUGGAAAGGCGCGCGAUACAGGGUGACAGCCCCGUACACAAAAGCGCAUGUGCUGUGAGCUCGAUGAGUAGGGCGGGACACGUGGUAUCCUGUCUGAAUAUGGGGGGACCAUCCUCCAAGGCUAAAUACUCCUGACUGACCGAUAGUGAACCAGUACCGUGAGGGAAAGGCGAAAAGAACCCCGGCGAGGGGAGUGAAAAAGAACCUGAAACCGUGUACGUACAAGCAGUGGGAGCACCCUUUGGGGUGUGACUGCGUACCUUUUGUAUAAUGGGUCAGCGACUUAUAUUCUGUAGCAAGGUUAACCGUAUAGGGGAGCCGUAGGGAAACCGAGUCUUAACCGGGCGUUAAGUUGCAGGGUAUAGACCCGAAACCCGGUGAUCUAGCCAUGGGCAGGUUGAAGGUUGGGUAACACUAACUGGAGGACCGAACCGACUAAUGUUGAAAAAUUAGCGGAUGACCUGUGGCUGGGGGUGAAAGGCCAAUCAAACCGGGAGAUAGCUGGUUCUCCCCGAAAGCUAUUUAGGUAGCGCCUCGUGAAUUCAUCUCCGGGGGUAGAGCACUGUUUCGGCUAGGGGGCCAUCCCGGCUUACCAACCCGAUGCAAACUGCGAAUACCGGAGAAUGUUAUCACGGGAGACACACGGCGGGUGCUAACGUCCGUCGUGAAGAGGGAAACAACCCAGACCGCCAGCUAAGGUCCCAAAGUCAUGGUUAAGUGGGAAACGAUGUGGGAAGGCCCAGACAGCCAGGAUGUUGGCUUAGAAGCAGCCAUCAUUUAAAGAAAGCGUAAUAGCUCACUGGUCGAGUCGGCCUGCGCGGAAGAUGUAACGGGGCUAAACCAUGCACCGAAGCUGCGGCAGCGACGCUGAUGCGUUGUUGGGUAGGGGAGCGUUCUGUAAGCCUGCGAAGGUGACCUGUGAGGGUUGCUGGAGGUAUCAGAAGUGCGAAUGCUGACAUAAGUAACGAUAAAGCGGGUGAAAAGCCCGCUCGCCGGAAGACCAAGGGUUCCUGUCCAACGUUAAUCGGGGCAGGGUGAGUCGACCCCUAAGGCGAGGCCGAAAGGCGUAGUCGAUGGGAAACGGGUUAAUAUUCCCGUACUUGGUGUUACUGCGAAGGGGGGACGGAGAAGGCUAUGUUGGCCGGGCGACGGUUGUCCCGGUUUAAGCGUGUAGGUGUGUGUUCCAGGUAAAUCCGGUUCACUUUAACACUGAGGCGUGACGACGAGGCACUACGGUGCUGAAGCAACAAAUGCCCUGCUUCCAGGAAAAGCCUCUAAGCAUCAGGUAACAUCAAAUCGUACCCCAAACCGACACAGGUGGUCAGGUAGAGAAUACCAAGGCGCUUGAGAGAACUCGGGUGAAGGAACUAGGCAAAAUGGUGCCGUAACUUCGGGAGAAGGCACGCUGACACGUAGGUGAAGUGAUUUACUCACGGAGCUGAAGUCAGUCGAAGAUACCAGCUGGCUGCAACUGUUUAUUAAAAACACAGCACUGUGCAAACACGAAAGUGGACGUAUACGGUGUGACGCCUGCCCGGUGCCGGAAGGUUAAUUGAUGGGGUCAGCGCAAGCGAAGCUCCUGAUCGAAGCCCCGGUAAACGGCGGCCGUAACUAUAACGGUCCUAAGGUAGCGAAAUUCCUUGUCGGGUAAGUUCCGACCUGCACGAAUGGCGUAAUGAUGGCCAGGCUGUCUCCACCCGAGACUCAGUGAAAUUGAACUCGCUGUGAAGAUGCAGUGUACCCGCGGCAAGACGGAAAGACCCCGUGAACCUUUACUAUAGCUUGACACUGAACAUUGAGCCUUGAUGUGUAGGAUAGGUGGGAGGCUUUGAAGUGUGGACGCCAGUCUGCAUGGAGCCGACCUUGAAAUACCACCCUUUAAUGUUUGAUGUUCUAACGUGGACCCGUUACCCGGGUUGCGGACAGUGUCUGGUGGGUAGUUUGACUGGGGCGGUCUCCUCCUAAAGAGUAACGGAGGAGCACGAAGGUUGGCUAAUCCUGGUCGGACAUCAGGAGGUUAGUGCAAUGGCAUAAGCCAGCUUGACUGCGAGCGUGACGGCGCGAGCAGGUGCGAAAGCAGGUCAUAGUGAUCCGGUGGUUCUGAAUGGAAGGGCCAUCGCUCAACGGAUAAAAGGUACUCCGGGGAUAACAGGCUGAUACCGCCCAAGAGUUCAUAUCGACGGCGGUGUUUGGCACCUCGAUGUCGGCUCAUCACAUCCUGGGGCUGAAGUAGGUCCCAAGGGUAUGGCUGUUCGCCAUUUAAAGUGGUACGCGAGCUGGGUUUAGAACGUCGUGAGACAGUUCGGUCCCUAUCUGCCGUGGGCGCUGGAGAACUGAGGGGGGCUGCUCCUAGUACGAGAGGACCGGAGUGGACGCAUCACUGGUGUUCGGGUUGUCAUGCCAAUGGCACUGCCCGGUAGCUAAAUGCGGAAGAGAUAAGUGCUGAAAGCAUCUAAGCACGAAACUUGCCCCGAGAUGAGUUCUCCCUGAGACUUAGAGUCUCCUGAAGGAACGUUGAAGACGACGACGUUGAUAGGCCGGGUGUGUAAGCGCAGCGAUGCGUUGAGCUAACCGGUACUAAUGAACCGUGAGGCUUAACCUU
rnacentral:rRNA from 1 species